UUUCCGUAGGUGAACCUGCGGAAGGAUCAUUAACGAGUUAGGGUCUUCUAGGCCCGACCUCCCAACCCUUUGUUUACUGAACCAUUGUUGCCUCGGUGGGUCCGUCUUACGACCGCCGGGGGAUCGCCGCGAGGCGCCCCUGGCCAGCGCCCACCGAUAGCCCAACCUUUAAAACCCUUUGUGAAUCGUGUCUUAUGUCUAAAUUUAUGAUUGAACAAUCAAAACAAAACUUUCAACAACGGAUCUCUUGGUUCUG
rnacentral:misc_RNA from 1 species